CCCCUUUUAGGGUCACCCCUGGAGAGUUUCCAGUGCUCUACCAGUCUUGGCUACUGCAGGGAGAGUCAUGCAGAGGCACACCCAUUCCAUUCCUAACUUGGCCAUUGGCUAGCGAAUAGAAGACAAUCUGCCACAAGU